rnacentral:lncRNA from 1 species
GAUCUUGAAAAGGCGAGUUUGGAAAUAAUAUACUUGGCAGAAGGAAAAUAAAUCUCAGAGCCAGGCAGCUUUUCUGCAGCAGGUCCCCGAUGAGAGUGCCUUCCCUCAACUUGUGCACAAAUUACAUAGGAAGUGACUGUGGUCUCUGUGAGGAUUCAUCUCCUGCCUCAGACCAGCACCCGCCCGCCACCAAUGCGCCCACACAGCUGGGCAAGCCACUUUAACAAAGGGUCCCUGAUAUGCAAAUUACACACACCCAGCUGCACAUUUCCAAAUGAGUCAUUGUUCACCUGCUGGCUCCUGCCUCACCAAAUCCCUCUUGCGGCAUGUGUUAUGCAUUCCCCAUCUCCUCUCCCUUCCCUCCUAGUCCAACCGGGAAGGUCUGUGGCUUCUGGAAUGGCAAGGAAAAGGCUGCAACCAGAGGGGGCCGGGCGGGGCGGUGGGACGAGAGCUGUAAAUUUCUAAGACAGAAAGAGGAAGAAGAAGGUACAGCCUGGUGAAAGAGCACCAGAGAACAUGUCCAUGUUUUACAGUUUGGUCACGGUAUAAACGGGGAUUGAGCGGAACUUCCAGGAGUUGCACAGAGCUGGGUGAAAAAGGAUCAUGUGAACUCUGCUUAGGAUCAUGUGAAAAGGCAAGAGGGACAAAUGGCCAAGAGAUGACCGGUUCCAUGGAGGAAAUGCAGGGCCAUUUCCUGGGCCCCACUGGGCACAAGGUGAGCGUUCAGCCCAGCCGUUAGGGAGGGUUCCCUGUUAUUAAAGCCUAUGUGGAUAAGGCAACUCAGUGACAUUAAUUUAGGAAAGUCGCAUCCAGAACUCUCUGAAAUUAUUUGAAAGUCCAGUUGUGGAGCCAUUUGAAGAAUCAAACCUCUUUUGAUUCUUUUGGAUGCAGCAGUUCAGACAAGGGAACUACCAGACGUGGAUCUCCCUCUGAGAGGUGGGUGACCCUGGCAAGCGCCUACACUCUCUAGAUGGUUUCAUGGUAAGGGACAAAUGUCUAUGUCUUUGAAUCAUCAUGAGGUUUUAGUAUAAUUUAAUCAAGACUCCACCAUAGCACCGAGCACAGAGAUGGCACCCAAGAAACAGUGGCCAAUGGUAUUCUCUGCUAAAAUAUUUGUCACCGCAGACACUUGGAUUCUGUUCCAAAAGGCUCUUCACUGAGUAGGAAGAGACCCUCUGGUGGGGCCACGAGAGAGGCCCUCAUCCCAUUGCUGAUUCAAGGCAGGUAAAGUGGAGAUACUUUGCAACCUAGUUUACAAAGUCAAGACAUCAGCUCACAAAAGGCCAGAAUCACCGUGAGGGCAAUGGUUUAACACUUAGAUAUUAUAUUCCCCUAACUCAAAACAUCUUUCUUAAAAGAAAGGAGAGUUCAGUUCUAGGCUCCUACUCCUGAGAUUUUUAUUUAAAGAAUACCCCAUCUUUACUCGCAGCUGAGAGGCUGACGAUUAAAAAUUAGCCACUGUAUA